rnacentral:rRNA from 1 species
CNGGAUUUAUUGGGCGUAAAGGGAGCGCAGGCGGUCAGGAAAGUNUGGAGUAAAAGGCUAUGGCUCAACCAUAGUGUGCUCUGGAAACUNUCUGACUUGAGUGCAGAAGGGGAGAGUGGAAUUCCAUGUGUAGCGGUGAAAUGCGUAGAUAUAUGGAGGAACACCAGUGGCGAAAGCGGCUCUCUGGUCUGUCACUGACGCUGAGGCUCGAAAGCGUGGGUAGCGAACAGAAUUAGAUACCCUGGUAGUNCACGCCGUAAACGAUGAGUGCUAGGUGUUAGGCCCUUUCCGGGGCUUAGUGCCGGAGCUAACGCAAUAAGCACUCCGCCUGGGGAGUACGACCGCAAGGUUGAAACUCAAAGGAAUUGACGGGGGCCCGCACAAGCGGUGGAGCAUGUGGUUUAAUUCGAAGCAACGCGAAGAACCUUACCAGGUCUUGACAUCCCGAUGCUAUUCUUAGAGAUAGGAAGUUACUUCGGUACAUCGGAGACAGGUGGUGCAUGGUUGUCGUCAGCUCGUGUCGUGAGAUGUUGGGUUAAGUCCCGCAACGAGCGCAACCCUUAUUGUUAGUUGCCAUCAUUAAGUUGGGCACUCUAGCGAGACUGCCGGUAAUAAACCGGAGGAAGGUGGGGAUGACGUCAAAUCAUCAUGCCCCUUAUGACCUGGGCUACACACGUGCUACAAUGGUCGGUACAACGAGUUGCGAGCCGGUGACGGCAAGCUAAUCUCUGAAAGCCGAUCUCAGUUCGGAUUGGAGGCUGCAACUCGCCUCCAUGAAGUCGGAAUCGCUAGUAAUCGCGGAUCAGCACGCCGCGGUGAAUACGUUCCCGGGCCUUGUACACACCGCCCGUCACACCACGAGAGUUUGUAACACCCGAAGUCGGU